AAAAGAUCUGUUUCUUGGUUUAAGAGUGAUCAUGGGAAAUAGCAAAGAAAAGAAAUGGGGCUGUAAUAUUAGUCCCUGUUCUUGGGAUAUUACGUAGUUUUGCCCCUGGACAGGCAAAGAUUGAUCAAGGGGCUAACAGAGGUAGGGGCUUGGGGCCUAGGAGAGCAGUUCUGAAGCAAGAAUUGGGAAAAUGGGAAGUCAGUAUCCUAGUCUCUUUCCCUUACUACAUUGUUCAAAGCCCUUUCACAUUAUCUACCUCACUGCGUGAAUAUGCAUGAUUAGAGACGUUAUGUUCAUUUUACCAGUGAGGACACUAAAGACCACAGAGGGAAGGACCAUAGGCAGGCAGUGGGUGGGUAAGCAGGCAGGACAAGAACUUGGGCCAAAAAGAGGGGGCAGGUAGGAGAGGCCACAAAAUGGCACAAAGCGCUGACCAGCACCAUUGCCUCCUCCUGUGUCUCUGGACAGGAUCUUGGAGGGGAUGUCUCAGAGAAGAGCUGUAGUUUUUGUAGCUUACCUCUUGGUCCCUGUGCUCCCUUGGUUUGAUGACUUAAUCUUCACUGGAACCAGACACACAGGGUCCAAGCUGGUAGGAUGACUGCCCACUCCUGAGCACCUAGUGACUAGAUUUGGACUUCCUUGCUCACUACCUGAGAUGCCUAACUCCAUCAGAUGAUGAAGGAAGCUGCUGCCCUCCCCUCUCUUUUGUCUGAAGUAGCAACCCUCUCUGCUGAACAUUCCUGGUUUCUUUGAAUGCCAUUCAAAUCAUAGUCUCCUUUGGUCACCUAUUCUCUCCUGUGCUUGUAUCAUCACAAGAUUCUGAAUUUUCUCCCUUGGCCCAACACCCUUUUCCUCCCAUGCUGCAUAAAACUUCCAGUUAUGCUUUGGAAGUCCAGCUACAUGAUUUUUAGCAAACUUCCCUUUUUCCAUAGACUGCUUCUUUAUUGACAGUUCCUUGCCUCUCCUUAUUUUAAUUGUAACUUGGAUUUCUCUUAAGGACAUUGCUUCCUUUUUAUCUCAAGUAGAAACUACUUAUUCUCUCAAACUCUAAAGUACUUCAGAGUAAGAAUGUGGUUUAUAGAGUCUCCUCGCUCCUUCCGACUCCUUGAAAACUGCUCUGCAUUAUUCCUCUCUUCAUACUGGAAAAUCUCUUGCUCCUUAUGAGUUAUCUUUAAACUAGGAAAGAAAACUUACUGGGAAAUAAAAAAGUAACACCUUCCUUAUAAUGACCUAAAUGAACAAAAAUGUUAAUUCAUAGUUCAGAAAACUUUGUCUAUUCAGAAAACAAGUAUGUUCUCUAUUCUCACUGUGUAUUAGUCUGUUCUCAUGCCGCUAAUAAAGAUAUACCUGAGACUGCGUAAUUUACAAAGAAAAAGAGGUUUAACAAACUCACAGUUCCAUGUGGCUGGAGAGGCCUCAUAAUCAUGGCAAAAGGCAAAGGAGGAGCAAAGGCACAUCUUACAUGGUGGCAGGCAAGAGUGCAUUUGCAGGGGAACUCCCCUUUAUAAAACUAUCAGAUCUUAUGAGACUUAUUACCAUGAGAACAGCAAAGGAAAGACCCACCCCCAUGAUUCAAUUACCUCCCACCAGGUCCCUCCCAUGACAUGUGGGAAUUGUGGGAGCUACAAUUUAAGAUAAGAUUUGGGUGGGACACAGCCAAACCAUAUCACACUGAUUGUAAACAACAGCCAAUAGAUUGUUUACUUUUGACCAGGUUGAGGGAAGAGUCAACAUAUAGUUCCAUAGAGCAUGUUGCAGGCAGUGAGGGAAGAGAAAGCACAGGAAUUUUUGAAGAUCUUUCUAAGGUCCCUUCAAUUUGGAGAAUAGCACUUAAGAAUCUGGGGAAGCCAAGAAAAGAAAGGAGCUCAGUUCCUCACCACAGAAUGACACUGGUGGCAGGAUCAAGAAAUAGCAGGUGCCUACAUGGACUUUGCAUUAUGGAGACCCAGGUCCUGCAAGCAGCCUGACCCAUGGCUGGCUGAGUUACUUUCCACUAAGUAGACCACAGAUCUGAAGGAAAUAUAUGUGAGGAUAAAGUUACCAGAGUGCCUAGUUUUCUUCCCAAUCCAUCAAUUAUUUGAAGAACUGGGCUCAGCAGGGCUUCUCCCAAGGUGCAUGAAACCUGGGAGAACCACCAUGCAGGGAGCCACAGUAGAGGCCAACAUGUGGAUAGUUUGGUGGCUCUGCCUCAAACAGAGGACAGAACAAAUGAAACAGAAACAAAUAUAUUCUUAAAAAUAUUUUAGAAGAAAUUUUCUCUAAAAUGAAGGAAGGUAGCGAUCAUCUGAUCAAGAAGAAAAUUUACAAUGGCUGGCUAAUGCCACAACAUUCUGGAAAACUUGCUGAACUACCAGGUUAAAGAUAGCCUUAUGAAUGCUCCUGUCACCUAUUAAGCUUAAAAACUGAGGCUGAACUCACACAUCUUCUAAGUAGCAUUAAAUGCUGGCAGAUAAUGGAGCAAGUUUCAGAGGAAUGCCACUUGGAUGUGGUCUGCAGGCUGGCAGCUUCAGCAUCACUUGGGAUCUUGUUAGAAUGCCAAAUCCUGGACCACUAUCCCGGACAUACUAAUUUGAAUUCUCUGGAGGUGGAACUCAGAAAUCAGUGUCUUAAUAUGCCCUCCAGGUGAUUCAGAUGCAUGGCUAACGUAUGAGAGGCACUGCUCCAAACUUUAGUAAAACAAACACAUACAGCUCAUGAAUUUUACAUCAUGCUAGGUUGUCAUUUGCAUAUGAAGGUAACAGACAGCCAUCUCUUCUUUGUAUAAAAUCAGGAAGUAUAUUUCUCAUGAGUAUUUGAAACAGGAGGAAUUGAAUAAAGGAAUUCAGUUUCACUGUUGACGUAAGAGCUAAGAUAACAAAUGACAUUAAGACACUUCAAGAUUAGCCCAACAGCCAGUCCCUGGGCUGUCUGGACAAAGGAGUCAGGCCAGGGGCCAGAGUUGCCUGAAGGAAUCUGGAAUCCUGGCAGGCCUGUCCAGUGGGGAUGGAGAUAGUGCUUUAGACAACGGGGAGCUGGUGCCUGAGAUGCUGACUGAGAUGGAUUGGGAGAAAAAGACUCUGCUUCACCUUCCUCCAUCCUUCCAGUUUCUUGCAGACAUUCCUGUUGGCGAAAUCUAGCUGAAAAAUCAGCUGAGUCAAGAACCUAUGGCUCAGGGCACAGCAGGGGAAGGGCAAGGAAGGACUCUGAGGGCCAGCAGGGCAGGGACUGGUACGAAGUCUAUACCCAGUCUACCAAAUGAUAAAUCAAACUAAGUCACAAAUGGGGAAGGGUGUGAAAAGACCGGCAGCAGUGCCAUCUUCCCAGGCUUAGGAUGUGGUUGUAGAGGGCCUUGUGCUGAAACAGGCCUCAAGUGGCUUAAUGCUCAGCUGUUGUCAUCUGAAAAUUCUUAAUAAUUUUUGAGGAAAGUCUCUACAUUUUCAUUUUGAACUGGGCCUUAAAAAUUCGGUGGCCACCCCUGACUGAGACUAAACAGUAAAUUAUUUAAAAAUAGAAAAAUAAUGUUCAUGGUACAGAAUGUAGAUGUUAUACCUAUUUAUCGAAAAGCUACAUAAUGUUAAAAAUAACGAUAACAGACACAUAAAAAUCCUAAUAUGUUCUGACGCAAUCUUAAAGCUUAUAGAAGGAAGUCUAAGUGGGUGAGCGCUGUCAUCUUCCACAGGGAGAAGUAGAUUUUGUUUUGCUUUAUGAGGUUGAAUGAAGAUGACUUGGAAUGUUCACUUUUAAGUAUGUUACUUAAAGUUGAAACAAGAUCAGUCUUAAUAAUUUUCAAAUUACCACAGGGAGAAGAGUGAGAUGACCUAAAAAAAAAAUAUAUAGGCCAUGUAGCAAAGAUACAAACUAAGAAAGCACACUUAAACAAAAUGAGAAUGAAACUGUCUCUGGUAAUACCUGCAAAUGGUAUUUACUCAAGUAUUGAAUCACAAAAUUAAACCCAAUGAGUUAAUGUCUGUAUGAGAUACAAUUAAAACGGUGCAUCUUGUCGACACUAAUAUUAGUGUCGACAAGAGAUACUCCUAAAGCAAGUGCAAUCGAAAUUUUAAAUAAACAGAUGGGCAAAAUAUGUCAGGGGAAACUUGCCAAAGAGUGUUACUUUGUUGAUGAAAAGUGUCAAACUCUGUAAAAUAUUUGAAAAGAUUUAUUCUGAGCCAAAUAUGAGUAACCAUGGCCUGUGACACAGCCUUCAGGAGAUUCUGAGAACGUGUGCCCAAGGUGGUUGAGGUGGAGCUUGGUUUUAUACAUUUUAGGGAGGCAUGACACAUCAACCAAAUACAUUUAAGAUAUGCAUUGGUUCGGUCCAGAAAGGUAUAACAACUUGAAGGCAGUGUCAUUAGGGGCGUCGAAUAUCCAAAUACAGACAGUGAAUCAUACAGGUCUGCAGUAACCUUAAUUCUUGCCUCCUCAGAAGAAAGAAUUUGACUGAGAGCUUAAGGCAGAAAAAGAGACAGAGGCAAGUUUCAGAGCAGGAGUGGAAGGGGUUUUUGUUUGUUUGUUUGUUUGUUUGUUUUUUGAGAUGAGUCUCGCUCUUUCGUCCAGGCUGUUGUGAAGUGGUGCGAUCUCGGCUCACUGCAACCUCCGCCCGCCCCGGGUUGAAGUGAUUCUCCUGCCUCAGCCUCCUGAGUAGCUGGGAUUACAGGUGCCCACCACCAAGCCCUGCUAAUUUUUGUAUUUUUAGUAGAGACAGGGUUUUGCCAUGUUGGCCAGGCUGGUCUUGAACUCCUGAUCUCAGGUGAUCCACCAGCCUCAGCCUCCCAAAGUUCUGGGAUUAGAGACGUGAGCCACCAUGCCCAGCCUGGAAGUUUAUUAAAAAGAUGUAGAGCACGAAAGAAAGCAAAAUACACUUAGAAGAACAAGUGAGGCAUUUGACCUUUGGACUUGGGGUUUUACAUGCCGGCAUAUUUCCCGGGUCUUGCGUCCCUUUUCCCAUGAUUCUUCCCUUAGGGUGGGCCACCACAUGUGCGGUGCCCUCCUUGUGCUCGGGAGGUGAGCACGCACAGUGUGUUUAAGAAGCUGUACAAAUGCCUGCCUGAGGCUUUCUUCCCUUUUCCGGUGGAAUCCCCCUGGAAGGUCAUAUUCCACCUUUUGUCUCUUAAUUUGCACGCCCCAGCUGACUCGCCCAACUCCUGAAAGCUGCCGAUUACCAGUCACAGGUGUUUCCUAUCAACAUAGGGAGAUUGCCUUUC
rnacentral:lncRNA from 1 species